UCGACCGGGCACAGGCGCGCGGGCCGGAGGCGCUUGAGGGCGUCGCGUUGUGUGGCCGCGGUUGAGGGUCCCUGUGCUUCCUCGCGGGGCCCGGCGAGCUCCGGCCCCGGACUGCCGCGCGGGAAAGCGUGCGUUCCGCCCGCCGGCCCGGCCCCAGGCAGCUGCCCGGCCGCACGUGCGACCCCGGUCCCCGGCCGGCGAGCGCAGGGUCCGAGCUCCAGGGGCGCCGCGCCACCCGGUCCGGGGCCCCGGCGUGCGGAGGGGAGCGCGCGCGCACCGGACGCACGGUGCCCCGCGCCCUCGGGAGACCCGGGCCCGCCGAGCCGUGCGGGCGGCGCCCCAGCGGGAGGCCGAGGUCGCGCCCAGAGCGGUGGCGGGCGGGCAGCACUUUGCAGCGUGAAUGUACUCACCUAACUGCCUGCGUAGAUAGAAAGUUCAGGAACGAUGACAACAAAGAAAUGCCAGUUUGAGUUUCCACAGCUGGGCCGCUCCCCAGGUUACGGCAGUUUACAGAGUCUGCAAGCCCACCUACAAAGCUCCGUGAAGAAGACAGAAGAGAAAGUUCUGGGACUAUGAACACGUGUCAGGAAUACAUUCAAUGAAAAAGGCGCGUCUCAGAACAGCAGUCUCUUAAUGUCACAUCUGUGUUAAAAAUACAGACACAUAUCCGUUUGCAUAUAAUAAAUGCCUGAAAAGAUAGAUACCAAACGAUAACCUAGUGUUUAUCGUCUCUGAGGGGUAUGAGAAAGCUUACUUUGCAAUGUUCAAGUUUUUCCUAAUGAAUAGUUAUUAAUGUUGUAUUAAAAACUGAAUUGUAUAUAAACAGAGAUAAGUUAUGUGUGUUCAUAGUACAUAUGUAUCUACAUGCCUAGGAAAAUCGAUGGAAAUGUCGUGGACCACAUAUUUAGUACUUGUCUCUGAGUUGAGGGAUUAGGGAUAAUUAUUACUAGUGCCUUUUUUUAAUGUAUUUUUCCUAUUUUAGGCAAUGACUUUAUAUUUUAAAAUCUGAAAAGAACUUUUUAAAAAACCAGAACGUUAGGGGCGCCUGGGUGGCUCAGUGGGUUAAGCCUCUGCCUUCGGCUCAGGUCAUGAUCUCAGGGUCCUGGGAUCGAGUCCCACAUCGGGCUCUCUGCUCAGCAGGGAGCCUGCUUCCUCCUCUCUCUCU